UACGGAGGAUGCAAGCGUUAUCCGGAUUUAUUGGGUUUAAAGGGUGCGUAGGCGGGAUAAUAAGUCAGUGGUGAAAGCCUGUAGCUUAACUAUAGAAAUGCCAUUGAUACUGUUGUUCUUGAGUACAGUUGAGGUAGGCGGAAUGUGUAAUGUAGCGGUGAAAUGCUUAGAUAUUACACAGAACACCGAUUGCGAAGGCAGCUUACUAAGCUGGUACUGACGCUGAGGCACGAAAGCGUGGGGAGCAAACAGGAUUAGA
rnacentral:rRNA from 1 species